GAUGAACGCUGGCGGCGUGCCUAAUACAUGCAAGUCGAGCGAACGGACGAGAAGCUUGCUUCUCUGAUGUUAGCGGCGGACGGGUGAGUAACACGUGGAUAACCUACCUAUAAGACUGGGAUAACUUCGGGAAACCGGAGCUAAUACCGGAUAAUAUUUUGAACCGCAUGGUUCAAAAGUGAAAGACGGUCUUGCUGUCACUUAUAGAUGGAUCCGCGCUGCAUUAGCUAGUUGGUAAGGUAACGGCUUACCAAGGCAACGAUGCAUAGCCGACCAGAGAGGGAGAACGGCCACACUGGAACUGAGACACGGUCCAGACUCCUACGGGAGGCAGCAGUAGGGAAUCUUCCGCAAUGGGCGAAAGCCUGACGGAGCAAAGCCGCGUGAGGGAUGAAGGUCUUCGGAUCGUAAAACUCUGUUAUUAGGGAAGAACAUAUGUGUAAGUAACCGUGCACAUCUUGACGGUACCUAAUCAGAAAGCCACGGCUAACUACGUG
rnacentral:rRNA from 1 species